AGCAGCCGCGGUAAUUCCAGCUCCAAUAGCGUAUAUUAAAGUUGUUGCAGUUAAAAAGCUCGUAGUUGAAUUUCGGGAUCAAGUCGUCGGUCGUGCUCAAGUACGUACUGGCGUCAUUGAUUUCUCCCUUCUAACGAACCAUGAUGUCAUUAAUUUGGUGUUAUGGGAAAUCAGGACCGUUACUUUGAAAAAUUAGAGUGUUUAAAGCAGGCUCACGCUUGAAUACAUUAGCAUGGAAUAAUGAAAUAGGACGUUCGAUCCUAUUUUGUUGGUUUUAGGAUCAACGUAAUGAUUAAUAGGGAUAGUUGGGGGCAUUAGUAUUCAAUUGUCAGAGGUGAAAUUCUUGGAUUUAUUGAAGACUAACUACUGCGAAAGCAUUUGCCAAGGAUGUUUUCAUUAAUCAAGAACGAAAGUUAGGGGAUCGAAGACGAUCAGAUACCGUCGUAGUCUUAACCAUAAACUAUGCCGACUAGGGAUCGGGUGAUGUUAAUUUUUUAAUGACUCAUUCGGCGCCUUACGG
rnacentral:misc_RNA from 1 species